rnacentral:misc_RNA from 1 species
CAACCCUCGAACCUCCGUUUCCUCAGGGAAGCUCAGGGUCGGCGUUGGGGCGCUACGGCGAGUCUUCGCGACCCUCCGUAGGCCCUGAAAUACAGUGGCGGUCCCGCCGCGGUUGCCUUCUGCGUAGUAAGUCUCUUUUUGCAAGCUCGCAUUGGGUCCCGGCGGAGGCCUGCCGUCAAACCACCUAUAACUCCAGAUG